GUGUGGACUCAGCAGUCUGUGUGUGUGUGUGUGUGUGUGUGUGGACUCAGCAGUCUGUGUGUCUGUGUGUGUAUGGAAUCAGCAGUCUGUGUGUGUGUGGACUCAGCAGUCUGUGUGUGUGUCUGUGUCUGUGUUAGAGAGUGGGAAGAGCUGUAAUGUGUUCCUGCAGUCUGCUGGGCCCCCUCUGCAAGUACAGGGAGCCGGGGGGCCCCACCAUGCCACCGGACCCUCAACCAUAUAUCUGGCUCGAGAUGUACCUAUUAUCGGACCACAUGCCAACUCUCUGAAAUCACUGUCCACCUUUCAGCCUUCCCCUGGCUGGCUGAGUAUGAGGGGAUCGGAGUCCACAAGUGAUUGUGUGCCGAAGGUUAGAACUUCACUGCUGCAGCCACCAUAUACCAUCACGAAUCCAUACUGAAAUCUUUAUUCCCUAUCCUUACUUAACCAUUUCAUACCCGGAGUCUGUGUAACAAUAUGACUGCUAAUCAUAUUGACUCUCAUAGCUGAACUCUGCAGUGAUGGG